rnacentral:rRNA from 1 species
AGUGAACGCUGGCGGUAGGCCUAACACAUGCAAGUCGAACGGCAGCACAGUAAGAGCUUGCUCUUACGGGUGGCGAGUGGCGGACGGGUGAGGAAUACAUCGGAAUCUACUUUUUCGGGGGGGUUAACGUAGGGAAACUUACGCUAAUACCGCAUACGACCUACGGGUGAAAGCAGGGGAUCUUCGGACCUUGCGCGAUUGAAUGAGCCGAUGUCGGAUUAGCUAGUUGGCGGGGUAAAGGCCCACCAAGGCGAGGAUCCGUAGCUGGUCUGAGAGGAUGAUCAGCCACACUGGAACUGAGACACGGUCCAGACUCCUACGGGAGGCAGCAGUGGGGAAUAUUGGACAAUGGGCGCAAGCCUGAUCCAGCCAUACCGCGUGGGUGAAGAAGGCCUUCGGGUUGUAAAGCCCUUUUGUUGGGAAAGAAAAGCAGCAGGUUAAUACCCCGCUGUUCUGACGGUACCCAAAGAAUAAGCACCGGCUAACUUCGUG